UACAGAGGGUGCGAGCGUUGUCCGGAAUUACUGGGCGUAAAGGGCGCGUAGGCGGCCUUCUAAGUCGAACGUGAAAUCCCCGGGCUCAACCCGGGAACUGCGUCCGAUACUGGGAGGCUUGAAUCCGGGAGAGGGAUGUGGAAUUCCAGGUGUAGCGGUGAAAUGCGUAGAUAUCUGGAGGAACACCGGUGGCGAAGGCGGCAUCCUGGACCGGUAUUGGACGCUGAGGCGGCGAAAGCUAGGGGAGCAAACGGG
rnacentral:rRNA from 1 species